UAACCAAGUACUAUAUAUGUAAUAAACAUUGGAGAUUUAGACAUACAUAAAUGGCCAAGAUGAAUGCAACCCACCACUGCGCCAAAAUACUCCAAUUACGGUGGGUCUUAACUGUCUAGAUAUGCAUGACUAAAAGUACAACAAUAAAACACACACAGUAUUUACCUGCAAGGAAAGGAGCAGAUGAAUGAGACCACUGCUUGCAGGAACAGACUGAAACAAAAAGGAUAAAUGGCAAAGGAACACGUGUGGCAACAAAAAAACAUAUACAGGAAUCCAGGAACGGAAUAAAGGAAUGAACCCAGAGAACCCAUCAUAAAUAAAACCAGACCUAGAAUAGAUAACCAGAAAAAAACAAGAAAACUAAACAAAAAUUGUAAAAAGAGUACUGGUUACCAGAAGCCAUGGCCAGAAAUGAUCCGCAAACAGGAACAGGAUGUGACAUAUGCAUGCACAAUUAGCAGCUACCACUAUCGUGUACGUGUCUACUAUAUUCCAAACAAAAAUGCAAACAAGCUAAAUUUAUUUUUAGUAUGAAUUUGAAAGUAAUAAAGUGUGGCCACCCUAGAUCUUUCAGUUUAAAGAAAUUCAUAUUAAAUCACCUUUGUAUGCCAUUUCAUCAUGAAACACAGCAUGGGGGAGGGGGUAGACUCACUGUCCACUUUAAAUGUCAAAUUGAUUUCUGAUUUCACCAUUCUACAUCAUAAAUCCCUUCGUCCCCAGAGUACCCAAUACCUUGAUCCUUAAGAUAUAUGUAUAAUAUUUGACAUUUCCCUGUCCUUGAUUCGCUAUGCUGCCAAUAUAUUUAAUGAUGCAUUUUUUGUGAAAUUGAUGCCAUUUUCACUUAGAUUUUCAGUACAGAAUGCCAAUGUGUUCAGUGCUCCAAUGUAGUUUUGAACAUGGAUGUGGACAGGUCUAAGUCUUCCUCAACAUCACACAUCUCAGAUGGACACUGAAUUUGCAUUCUCUUGUAUCGACUGCUACUAUGAUGUAUGGUGGGUAUAGGGAUUAUAUACAUAUUUCAAUGGUACAUAACAUCCACUUGUAUAAACAUAUAUAUUUAGUUUCUGUGCCUCUACUUGCUUUCUUUUUUUAUUUUUUUUAUUUCCACUCCUACUUAACAGAUAGAGAUAGUUUUGUACACAUGUCGGAAAGUACAUGGACCAACUUUACAGACAACAACAUGAAAAACUUUAGUUGAUCCUAUGUCUUCUGGCAAGUGUACAAUAUAUUCCUACAACAGCAUAUUAUUUCAUAUGUAGCCAACUAGAAAAAAACAUGGUAGA